rfam:Folsomia candida strain VT population Fcan01_Sc005, whole genome shotgun sequence.
UAAAUAGACGAUAAGACCCUAUAGAGCUUUAUUUAUAGUUUUGCAUUAAAAUUUUUAUUAAUUAGUGUUAUUUUUGUAAAUUUUAUUGGGGCAAUAAAAGAAUAAUAUAAACUUCUUUUCUAAAAUUUUUAUAAAAAAGAUUAACUUUUAGUAGAAAAUUUAAUAAAAGUUACCUUAGGGAUAACAGCGUUAUUAAAGUUAAGAGUUCUUAUCGACACUUUAGAUUGCGACCUCGAUGUUGAAUUAAAAAUUCUUUGAGGGGCAGUAUUUUCAUUAGAUGGUCUGUUCGACCAUAAAUUUUUUACAUGAUUUGAGUUCAAACCGGUGUGAGCCAGGUUGGUUUCUAUCUUUUA